rnacentral:rRNA from 1 species
UACGUAGGGGGCAAGCGUUGUCCGGAUUCAUUGGGCGUAAAGAGCGUGUAGGCGGCCAGGUAGGUCGGUUGUGAAAACUGGAGGCUCAACCUUCAGAGGUCGACCGAAACCAUCUGGCUAGAGUCCGGAAGAGGAGUGUGGAAUUCCUGGUGUAGCGGUGGAAUGCGCAGAUAUCAGGAGGAACACCAAUAGCGAAGGCAGCUCGCUGGGACGGUACUGACGCUAAGGCGCGAAAGCGUGGGGAGCGAACAGG